GGGGACCUUUGGGGCCCUAUAAUAUGCAAGACUUUUUGUCUUGCACGUACAACGGAAGACAGAAA
rnacentral:ncRNA from 1 species